rnacentral:rRNA from 1 species
GACCGUACCGCAAACCGACACUGGUGCGCGAGAUGAGUAUUCUAAGGCGCUUGAGAGAACUCAGGAGAAGGAACUCGGCAAAUUGACACCGUAACUUCGGAAGAAGGUGUGCCUUUAGUAGGUGAACCAUUUACUUGGGGAGCCCAAUGAGGCUGCAAAAAAUCGGUGGCUGCAACUGUUUAUUAAAAACACAGCACUCUGCUAAGACGAAAGUCGACGUAUAGGGUGUGACGCCUGCCCGGUGCUGGAAGAUUAAAUGAUGGGGUGCAAGCUCUUGAUUGAAGUCCCAGUAAACGGCGGCCGUAACAAUAACGGUCCUAAGGUAGCGAAAUUCCUUGUCGGGUAAGUUCCGACCUGCACGAAUGGCGUAAUGAUGGCCACACUGUCUCCUCCUGAGACUCAGCGAAGUUGAAAUGUUUGUGAUGAUGCAAUCUCCCCGCGGAAAGACGGAAAGACCCCAUGAACCUUUACUGUAGCUUUGUAUUGGACUUUGAACAGAUCUGUGUAGGAUAGGUGGGAGGCUUUGAAGUGUGGUCGCUAGAUCGCAUGGAGCCAACGUUGAAAUACCACCCUGGUGUGUUUGAGGUUCUAACCUAGGUCCAUUAUCUGGAUCGGGGACAGUGCAUGGUAGGCAGUUUGACUGGGGCGGUCUCCUCCCAAAGUGUAACGGAGGAGUUCGAAGGUACGCUAGGUACGGUCGGACAUCGUGCUAAUAGUGCAAUGGCAUAAGCGUGCUUAACUGCGAGACUGACAAGUCGAGCAGAUGCGAAAGCAGGACAUAGUGAUCCGGUGGUUCUGUAUGGAAGGGCCAUCGCUCAACGGAUAAAAGGUACUCUGGGGAUAACAGGCUAAUACCGCCCAAGAGUUCAUAUCGACGGCGGUGUUUGGCACCUCGAUGUCGGCUCAUCUCAUCCUGGGGCUGUAGCCGGUCCCAAGGGUAUGGCUGUUCGCCAUUUAAAGAGGUACGUGAGCUGGGUUUAAAACGUCGUGAGACAGUUUGGUCCCUAUCUUCCGUGGGCGCUGCAGAUUUGAGGAAGCCUGCUCCUAGUACGAGAGGGCCGGAGUGGACGAACCUCUGGUGUAUCGGUUGUCACGCCAGUGGCAUUGCCGAGUAGCUAAGUUCGGAAGAGAUAACCGCUGAAAGCAUCUAAGCGGGAAACUCGUUUCAAGAUUAGAUCUGCCGGGGCCUUGAGCCCCCUAAAGAGUCGUUCAAGACCAGGACGUUGAUAGGUCAGGUGUGGAAGCUA